AUGAACUAUGAACCGAGCGAGGACGUACGUAAUGGUGACGAAUGGGCACAGAGUAAGAGGUACCCCGGCACGGGGAGCACGCGAGUGGGCUUGGAUGCAUCUGCACCCUUCAGCUCCACCGCCUCCUUCAACUCUCUCGCCGUGCCCCGCGGCAAGGGUCGUGUCACCCCGAUCUCUGGGUCCAGGCCGUCAAGCGCCUGCACGGCUACCUCUAGGAUGAGCAUACAUGCCCAGGUCAAGUCCGCGGAGCGUCCUCAGGCUCUCGGUGAUGCUUGCGGCGUCCUAGACUCGUCACCGGAGCCCGCGGCAGCAAGGAAGUCGAGCUGCUCGAGAUCGCGAUAUGGAAAGCUCACGGCGGCAGAGCGAGUCAGCCCAGUUCAGCGCGGCCUGCAGUGUGCGGCGCUUGCGUUGAUGGCUUCGAAGCGAAACGCGAGCCAGCGCUCUACCUCAGCCAAGCCGGCGCUGCCCGCCUCCACUGUCAGAAGGUCGCCACCGGUGAGGCCACGAGCCCACUGUGGAACCCGGAUGCACGCAGCCAUCCGAGCGACCGUCUCGCGAGCCGUUGGAUCACGCGGCAUCAGACGGUGGAGGGGCGUUACUACCAGGGACGUUGAAGCACGUGUCCCAGCUCGGGCGACGACGCAGGCGACUGCUAGAUCCAGAAUCCUGGCGGCGGCAGGGGAACUGGAUGCUGCGGGGACGGCAAGGGAACCGGAGGUUCAGGCGGCGGCGAGCAUCGUCGGCGACGGCGCCAAGCUACAUGACCCCCCUCUAGUUGCGGCGGCGGACGAGAGGUAUGGUGUCCUACGUUACUCCCUCUAUGUCGCCAAAUUCACCCCCAUUUCACCUAGGGGUUGUUUCAUGUCGGAGGAAGAAGUAAUGGAGUCUGAUACUGCAUUCAGUCAACGCUUUGCAGCAAAACGCUUGCGUGAAGUUGCGAAUACAAAGCUCAAUGAUAGGAAGAGGGAAUACAUAAAUGAAACUGGCUUUGGUGAUCUCACGAGCAUCUCCCCUUUCACAAUACCACACGAUCUGAUGGAGUGGAUAACUAUGAAUAUCGACACUGACACUCGUGAGCUGAGGCUGAGUCGGAAUAAGGUCAUUGUGUUCACUAGAGACAUGGUGAAGAAGGUUUUCAACAUCCCAUCAGGCAACAGACCAGUUGAGCUUUUCAAGAGACACCAUCAUUGCGAGCUCCGCAACAUUUAUCACAAGAAUGGCAGGGCUCCAAUUGCGCAUACAGUGGAUGUGCUUCAUCGGGCAGGGGACCAUGAUGGAAAUACUACAAAGAGGUCAUGGGUGCUCUUAGCGCUUGCAACAGUUUUAACUCCAAGCACUGGCAACAUGGUGCCCCUAGAGUACUUGAAAAGCCUCGAAGAUAUGGACAAGGUCACUGAUUUUGCUUGGGAUGAGCAUGUUUUAAGUGUUGCAAUGAGACAGGUUAUUUACAUGGACCAUUUGAUAUUUCCUCAAGCUGCCAUCAACGAGCACCAAUUGAACUAUUCUCUCCCAAGGGCUUGCUUCGUACAUCAGACUGAUUUUGAUAUUGUGUUGGAAUAUGAUAGGAACAAGCUUUCUUUGGGCAAACCAUCAUUCGGGAAGUGUCGGUUUCGCCCUUUGUCAGAGACACCUUAUGCAGCAUUGCUUGCCCAAGGACAUGAAGGCAACAACAGUGAAGUUGCUCAAGAUCAGCAUAAUCCUACAGAAGGUAGCAAUCCAAAUGAAGAUGGCAAAAGCACCGAUGGAGAUGUGUGUGGUUCACUAGAUGAUUGGCUUCGGAACCCAACACCAUUUGGGGCAGAGCUCGAGCUACCAUCAAAUCUGGCUGCAAUCUACGACAAGCACACAAAACUUUUUUCUUCGGAGUUAAAAGGUGCUCUAAUCUCUUUUGGGCAAGUGUUGCAAGCAAUGCAUUGCAAGCGAAUGGGGCACCUACUCAAAGAUGUGCACGCUGCUUCGCCAAGCUCUCAGGAAGCAGCGGAUGUUAGUUUUCAUGUGCCACCCCCUCGCAGCAAUGAUGUAGACAAGACAGAUCAUCAUGGAUGUACCAAAGAAACUUCUAGCAGGAAGGCUGCAGAUGAGCCAACAACACACAAGGUGGUUGAGUCUGCUGAAGGAGCUCGAAGCAAUCAUGCAAGCAACAAUGCUCAUGAGUGUAAUGGCAGCAAUGUGGUUGAGAAGGGCACACGAACUAGUCCUGUUGUUAUUGACCCCCUGCAGAGUGUUUUGAGAAUGCAAAGGAUAAAGUGGCUAGUUGUGAAGAUAUUGAGCAUGGGCACCGAGGAGUAUGAUUGGUGGAUUAGUGUCCAAAGUCAAGAUGGGAACUCCAAUGCUCCACCCAAUGGCAAUGGAAACACUGCUACAACACCAAAGUCUUGUCCUAUUUUUGAUGUGACUCCUCGGGCUCCAAUCUCAACAGAAGCACAAGCUCCAGUGUUUGAUGUGACACCAAUCUCCAUGGCUCCAUUCUCGAGCGGGGAUGCAGAUGGACCAUUGAAAACACAAGAAGAGCCAGUUGUUCUAGUUAGCAGCAGGGAACCAAGUCCGGACCUCAACAAGGAGAAGUUGAAGAGUAAGGACGAGAAUAAGCUCAAUAGCAAGAAAAGAGUAGGGAGUCCAAUGUCAGCCGGAUCAAAGUACAAGAAAAUCAAGACAGAUUCAAAGAUGGAAGCAAUGUACCAGUACUAUGUCAUGAAGAGGUACAAGAUGAAGAAGAUGAAGAGAGGGGAAAUUGAGCCUCCUUUCAUUAGGAUUGGUGAUUUCCACAUUACCUACCCCAACUUCCAGAAGUCGUUGAAGCCACGUGCUCAGAUUUGCAACGAAGUCAUGUCUUUAUUCAUCGAAACCUUCAACAUUGAACAAUUGUCGUCUUCAAAGAAGCAGAAGAAAUUUGCUUUCUCUGUUUUAAUGAGUCUUCAACUCUCUGUCCACCCAGAAGUUUUUGAUCCGAGUGUUUGUGCAAGAGAGCUGAGGAAGGCGUGCCAAAAUUUUCAGAUUUCAGGUUUCGACCUACUUUUCUUCACCAUCGUCCGUGAUGGCCACUGGAUUGUCUGUGUGGUUAACCUCUUGCACAAGGAGUUCAAUAUGUUUGACUCUUUGGAUGACGGGAAAUUGGACGUUGCUGCAAGGAAUCUGGCAAUGGUGUUUAUCAAUUUCAAGAGGAUUGCUACCGAAGAGUCGGAUUUCACAGUGGAUCUAUCUUCUUUCAAAACAGACUGGCCCGUGCUUGACUACCCACAACAAUCAACUCACUUUGAUUGUGGAUUGUUUUCAACAAUGUACCUUGAAAAUUUUGAUGGCCAAAUGAUGAAAGAUUUCAAGAAGCAAAAUAUGCUUGAUGUGCGGAAGACCAUUGCUUCGAAGCUGUUUUUCCAUCCUUUGAACAAGGUCUUCCCUGCUGAUGUGCAUAAGGCGAUCAUAGCGGCUUGA
rnacentral:rRNA from 1 species